GACGAACGCCGGCGGCGUGCUUAACACAUGCAAGUCGAACGGAAAGGCCCCCUUGUGGGGUACUCGAGUGGCGAACGGGUGAGUAACACGUGAGUAACCUACCCUUGACUUUGGGAUAACUUCAGGAAACUGGGGCUAAUACCGGAUAGGAGCUCCUGCUGCAUGGUGGGGGUUGGAAAGUUUCGGCGGUUGGGGAUGGACUCGCGGCUUAUCAGCUUGUUGGUGGGGUAGUGGCUCACCAAGGCUUUGACGGGUAGCCGGCCUGAGAGGGUGACCGGCCACAUUGGGACUGAGACACGGCCCAGACUCCUACGGGAGGCAGCAGUGGGGAAUAUUGCACAAUGGGCGGAAGCCUGAUGCAGCAACGCCGCGUGCGGGAUGACGGCCUCGGUUGUAACGCUUCGUCCUGUGACGAAGACGUGAGUGACGGUAAUGGGUAAAGAAGACACCGGCUAACUACGUGCCAGUAG
rnacentral:rRNA from 1 species